rnacentral:rRNA from 1 species
UACACUCCUACGGGAGGCAGCAGUGGGGAAUUUUGGACAAUGGGCGAAAGCCUGAUCCAGCAAUGCCGCGUGAGUGAAGAAGGCCUUCGGGUUGUAAAGCUCUUUUGUCAGGGAAGAAACGGUGAGAGCUAAUAUCUCUUGCUAAUGACGGUACCUGAAGAAUAAGCACCGGCUAACUACGUGCCAGCAGCCGCGGUAAUACGUAGGGUGCAAGCGUUAAUCGGAAUUACUGGGCGUAAAGCGUGCGCAGGCGGUUUUGUAAGUCUGAUGUGAAAUCCCCGGGCUCAACCUGGGAAUUGCAUUGGAGACUGCAAGGCUAGAAUCUGGCAGAGGGGGGUAGAAUUCCACGUGUAGCAGUGAAAUGCGUAGAUAUGUGGAGGAACACCGAUGGCGAAGGCAGCCCCCUGGGUCAAGAUUGACGCUCAUGCACGAAAGCGUGGGGAGCAAACAGGAUUAGAAACCCUUGUAGUCCC